rnacentral:lncRNA from 1 species
GGAAUCCCCCACGCUAGUCCAAGCCACUACUGGGUCCCUAGAGCCGCACCCUAAAGCGGCUCCUCACCCUACCUGUGCCUCUCCCUGCUUCCUCUCCUGCCUCCAAGAGACCCUCCUUAAUAGACUUUAUUUUUUGUUGUUCAUUUUUCUUAGAGGCAGGGUCUUGCUCUGUCGCCCAGGCUGGAGUGCAGUUUCGCGAUCAUAGCUCACUGCAACCUCCACCUCCUAGGCUCAAGCGAUCCUCCUACCUCAACUCACGGGUAGCUAAGACCAGGCACUCGCCACUACACCCGGCUGAUUUUUUUUUUUUUUUUUUUUGAGACGGUGUCUCGCUUUGUCGCCAGGCUGGAGUGCAGUGGCGCGAUCUUGACUCACUGCAACCUCCACCUCCCGGGUUCAAGCGACUCCCCCGCCUCAGCCUCCCAAGUAGCUGGAACUACAGGCGCACACCACCACGCCCGGCAAUUUUUUUUUUUUUUUUUUUUUUUUUUUAGUAUUUUAGUAGAGACGAGGUUUCACCAUGUUGGCCAGGAUGGUAUAGGUCUCCUGACCUCGUGAUCCGCCCGCCUCGGCCUCCCAAAGUGCUGGAAUUACAGGAGUGAGCCACUGCGCUUUUUUUUUUUUUUUUAAGAGAAGGGGGUGUCUUGCUAUGUUGCUGUUGCCUAGACUGGUCUAGAAACUCCUGGGCUCAAGAGAUCCUGCCGCUUUGUCCUCCCAAAGUGCUGGGAUUGCAGGCGUGAGCUCUUUCCAGAAUUUAAAACCAUCCUCCUCUCCCUCAGGGUAAAUUCCUUACUCCACAAUCACAUUUAUCUGAUCUUCCAGACCACCACCCAGCCCUGGCCAAAAGAAACGGCCUCUUUGCCUUUGCCUGAGCCAUUACCCAGGGCAGGAACACUUCCUGCCCCUCCCACGUGGCUGAUUCCUAUUUAAUUUGGGGUCCACUGCCCACAAUCUGCCUGUAGACUUCUGCAUUUCCCCCUUUGAACUGGGAGCAUCCUGAGGUCCAGGUGGCCUCUCAAUGCACACCAGUAUCUCCAGGGCCCAGUAGAAGACCUGACAUAAGAAGCCCCAGGCAAAGGUUUGUUGCAUUGAAUUGUUUACCUUGGGUUUAAACUCCCAGAGAUUAGCCCAGAUUUAGUGGCUCAUGGCUCAGCACCAGCUUGGACACCAAACACUAAUUGAUGAUAAGUAGAAUCACAUGGCCCUUCUGGCUGGAGUCUUCCCCCUCCACCUCCAGAGCAUCCUCCUUAUCAUUCUUGUCCUCAUCAC